rnacentral:lncRNA from 1 species
UUUUUUUUUUUUUUUUUUUUUACUGAAUGAAUCAUUGUGUAGACAUUUGUUGAGUUUUUUUGCCAUGUCACCAGCAUGAAUAAGUUCCCAGGCCAAGGACUGCACCUGUGCCACAGCAGUAACCAGAGCUAUAGCAGUGACAACACUGGAUCCUUAACCCACUGAGCCACCAGGAUACUCCCAUUUAUAGUUUUCAAAACAAAAUGUGUGUACCUUUUAAAUGGAAUACCUAAUUAAUUUAAUUAGUCUAUGAUUGAAGCAAACAUUGCUUUUUUGUUUUGAAUUAAAUUUCACAUUACAAUUUCUAAAUUUAAGGUGUACUGUGUUACUUUUGAUGUACUCGUACUAUAAUACGAUUGUCAAUAAAGCAAUAUUUAUAUUAUAUCAAUAUAGUACAGUAUUAUAGAUGACAUUCAUUAUAUUAUAUUCUUUACUGCCUGUUACAAGUUUGUAACCCUUAAAUACCAUCAAUCUUAUCCCCCUAUUCCCACACCCUGGUAAUCACCAUUUUACCCCCCUUUUUUAAAACAGGUUCAACAUUUUCUUUCUCUUUUUUGUUUUUUGGGGGCACACCUGUGGCAUGAAGUUCAGCCAGGCAACUUCUGAAUAAGCUGCUGCAGUGCCAAUACCAAAUCCUUAACCUGCUGUGUCACAAGAGAACUCCAACUUCUUUUUAUAUUUGACAUUUAAGUGAUAUCUAUCAUACCGUACUUGUCUUUGUGUGACUUAUCUUGCAUAGCAUAAUGUGAUCAAGGUACACCCAUAUUGUUACAAAUGGCAGGAUGCCUUUCUCAUGGCUGAAUAAUAUCCCACUGGGUAUAUAUAUUACGCCUUUUUAAUCUAUUCAUCCAUUGAUGGGCACUUGGGUAGUUUCCACAUCUUGGCUAUUGUGAAUAAUUCUGCAAUAAAUAUGAGUGUGCAAAUAUCUUGUCAAAAUCUUAUUUUCAUUUCCUUUGGGUAUAUACUCAGGAGUGAACUGAUGGACCAAAUGGUAGAUUUACUUUUAAUAUUUUGAGGAACCUCUAUAUUGUUUUACAUAGUGGUUGGACUAAUUUAUAUUCCCACCAACAGUGUGUAGGGGGUUCUCUUUUCACCAUAUCCCCUUUCUCCCUUCCUUCCUUCUCCCCCCACCCCCGCCCUUUUUCCUUUUUUUGUCUUUUUAGGGUCACGCCCACGGCGUAGAGAACUUCCCAGGCUAGGGGUCCAAUCGGAGCUGUAGUAGCUGCUGGCCUAUGCUGCAGCUGAUGGCAACCUUGGUUCCUUAACACACUGAAAGAGGCCAGGGAUCAAACCCGUAUCCUCAUGGUUACCAGUCAGGUUCAUUACCACUGAGCCACAACAGGAACUCCCUCGUUUUUUGUUUGUUUUUUUUAAUGACAUAUGUAACCACAACAUACGUAAGUUCCAAGUCAGGGACUGAGUUAGAGCCAUAGCUGUGACCUAUGCCACAGCUGUUGCAAGGCCGAAUCCUUUAACCCGCUGUGUGGGCUGAGGACAGAACCUGUACCUCCACUGCAACCUGAGCUCCUGCAGUAGGAUUCUUAACCCACUGUACCACAGUGGGAACUCCACACUUGCCUUCUUGAUAGCUAUUCUAACAGGUGUGAGGUGAUAUCUUAAAAUAUUAGCAAACCGAAUUCACUAAAAGGAGUAUAUGCCAUGACCAAAUGGGAUUUAUUCCAGGAUGCAAGAAUGUUUCAACAUAUGAAAAUCAGUACGUAUAAUUCAUUAUAUACCUCAACAUAAUAAAGGCCUUAUAUGAUAAACCCACUGCUAACAUUCUAAUCAAUGCAGAAAAACCGAGAUCAGUUAAGACUGGUUAGUUAAGACUGGUUACAAGUCAAAGUUGCCCACUCUCACCCUUCCCAUUCAGUGUAGUAGAUAUCCUUUGGUAUCUGUGGGGGAUUGGUCCCAAAGCCCCCAUGGAUACUAAAAUCCUCAAAUGCUCAAGUCCCUUACAUAAAAUGGUAUAAUACAAUGAAUACAGUUGGCCCUUUGUAUCCAUGGAUGUGAAACCCGUAAAUACGGAGGAUUGACUGUACUGGAAGUCCUACCUCGGGCAAUUAAGCAAGACAAAGAAAAAGAAGAUAUCCAAAUUGGGAAGGAAGGAGUAAAACUAUCACUAUUUGUGGAUGAUUUCUUAUUUACAUAAAGAAAAAUCCCCAAAAGUCAAUCAAAACCUCUCAGAACUAAUCAAUGAUUUCAGUAAACAGGCAAGUUACAAACUUGCACAAAUCAGUGGCAUUCCUUUACACUAAAGAUGAAGCAUCAAAAAAAGAAACUAUCCCACUUACGAUAGCAUCAAAAACAAAUACUUAGGAGUAAAUUUAGUGAGGAAGUGAAUCUGUACAAUGAAAACUAUAAGACUUUGCUGAAAGAAAUGAGAAGACACAAACAAACGGAAUGACAUCCAUGUUGGUUGAUGGAUCAGAAGAGCGUUAUCUUUUUAAGGAUGAGUGAACUCGCAAAGACAGAUGCCCAUUAAGUCUUAGAAUACUUAUAGAGGCUGAAAAUCUUUUCCAUGUGCCAUACUUUCCUUCACUAUGCACAAUUUGAUGUAGAUGGUCAAACGCAAUCAAAAACCUGUAUGGGAUUUAUAAAGUUCAGGGGAGUUGACCUUAGUCUGUAAUGAUUAGUGAAUAAAACUUUUAGCUUUCCAGGUGUUAAUGAGGACCUGACUUUCUCAAUUUCUCUUACCUCAAUUCAUAGCUUAGAUAACUAUGUCCCAGAAUUUGUCCUUAUUAAUGGAUUUAACAAUUGAAUUGAAGUUCAAAGUGAGGUGUAUAAUGACAGAAUGAGUUUGAAAUUUAACAAAAUUCCCAGUGGCCUGCUGUUCUAUUUAUCAAAAACUCAUGUCUUCCCAAUGUGAUUGCACUGAAAAUUAAGUUCAUUCCUAAGCCCCAGAAGAUUCUCAAUGAAAUACUAAAGUGUUACUUAUCCUUUCAUUUUUAGAACCUUUUAUUUUAUAGACUGUAUGGAGAUAAUCUUUUUCCCCUUUUGGUGGAAGUUAGGAGUCUGGAAAGGGAACCAUCUUUAUCUGCUACAAACUUUUAACUUUUAAAGCUUCCAUAAGGAAAAUAUAAACCUACUCUCAAUCUGCAAGGUCUAUUGAAAGUGACUAAUACAGGCCAUGAGGCAUGUGCUACAGGGGGAGCUGGGGAGGUUAGGGGAAUUCAUCAGGUUAGUCAGAGAUGACUAGAAAGUAUACUAUUCAGUAGAAUUUCAAAAUGAGGACUGGUCUCUCUUUCAGACUUUAACUGUGCUAAAUUACAUAUCUUCAGUUAAAAAUGUAGACCUUUUUCCCUGCUAAGGUUAUUUCCAUAAGGUUAACUAUUUUUAACAACGAAAAGUUUGAAAUAUUCAUUUAUUAGACAAUUUGGGAACAGUUCCAAUGAAUUAGAAAUUGCUAAUUCUGGGAUUUACUCUCUGAACAAUGAACAUAUGAAUUUUUACUAACGUUAUCAUGAGCUUUGCAUAUACCUGCCAAGAGGAUAAGAGAUCUCUAAGCAGAGAGACCUACUUAACUUCCUUGAGGUAGGAGUGAGGAUACUGUGGACCACCAGGUAAAUAAACAUUUUAUAAGCCAAUUCCUUCUCUAGGCAGAAAAGAAAAGGCCGCAACCAGAAACAAAAAUAUCACAAAUGACAAGGCUCACCAGUUAAGGUACAUAUACAGUAAAGAUAUGAAAUCAUCCACGUACCAUUACGCCACCAAAAUCAGAAAUUGUGAGAAGAGGAGGGUACAAAUACAGGACACUGGAGUUGUACUUGCAAUUAAGAGACCAACAACUUAAAAUAAUCUAGUGUAUAUAUAUAUAUAGACUCUUAUAUGAAAAAUUCAGAAUAUAAGACAAUUUGACAACUAUACUUUUAUUAAGCAAAUCAAUCCCAGACAUGAUCCCUUCCUUCAAGAAUGUUAAAAUGCUACAAAAGGGAAAAGAAACAAAGUAUAUCUAGCCUAUGUCUAAUUUUCUUUAUCCUCAGAAGUCAAUUCAAUGUUCAGGAGUUAGAACUACAUAUUUAACUGCACGUACACAUCGAUCCAUUAUAAUGAUAUACUGCUGAUAUUUUAGUUUCUUCAGAGAGAGAGAAUCUUUUCCUCAAAAUUUUCCCUUCCUUAGCAUUGUGUUUUUGUAUAUCUAAAUUAUUUUGCGGUACCUUAAAAAGAAAAAACUUAAAAUUUUUUUUUUUGGGGGGAGGGCAAAUUUACACUAAUUUUUUUACUCAUCUACUCUUACUUAGGCAUUUCAUUUUCUUAGGUAGCUCUAAUGUAAGUCAGUGGUUUGUCCUUACGUCAAUUAAGUUCAGCAGGAAAAUUAGUCUAUGAUUAUUUGAAUUAUAAAUUUCAAAUUACUAUGGGAAUCUUGUUUUACUUUUUCUUUUCUCGAAUUUGUCCUUUCAAGCAACUGAAGAUACAGUAUAUAGUAUAUUUCAUCACAAAAUAAUAGAUGAGAUUUUUCCACAUGAAAUCUGAUAAAGAGUGAAUCCAAGACUAAAAACACGGGACUGCAUCAAUACCUGUAGUACUGGCUGAAAAAGGAGAUAUUAAAGAAAAUCAUUUGAAAAAAACAAACAAACAAACAAACCAAAAAAACAGAUGCUGACUCACAGACAUUGAAAAACUUAUGGUCUCCGGAGGAGACAGUUUGGGGGGUGGGGGGAUGUGCCUGGGUUGUGGGAUGGAAAUCCUGUGAAAUCAGAUUGUUAUGAUCAUUAUACAACUACAGAUGUGAUAAAUUAAUUUGAGGAAUAAAAAAAUGAAAAAAAAUAAUAAAGAAAAUCAUUUGAGAGCAAUGAAAAAAUUUUUUGGGAGGAGGGGGCUGCACCUACAGCGUGCUUAAGUUCCUGGGCCAGUGACUGAAUUUGAACCACAGCAAUGGCAAUGCCUAGUCCUUAACUGCUAGGCCACCAGGGAACUGCACUUAAAAAAAAAAUUGAUUACUAAAGAUAGUGAGAGGGAAAUAAGAAAAAUGAUUUCCUUUGCCUUAGAAACUUCAUUUUAUUUUCUGUAUAGUAUAGGUAUUACGGCUUUUAAAAAGCCUGUUGGCUGUAAACCAGCUAUAAUGGAAAAAAAUAAAAAAAUAUUAAUAAAAAAUAAAAAGCCUGUUGAAACUUGAUUUGAAGUAUUAUUGGGAGAUGAUACCUCUUAAUGAGUCAAGGUGAGAAUGUCCAAGCCUAUACAUUGAUAUGCAGGACUGGCCAGCUUUUAGAAGCAUCUGACUAGAGCGUGGGCAGGUUAAGUCAGGUCUAUGGUCCCUAAUUCCAUUCAUUUGCUUAUUUAAUAAAUGCACUGAGUUCCUAUAUGGGUAACUGUUCUAGGAAAGGCACUGUUCUAGAGCUGGAGAUAAAGUAGUAAAUGCAUCUGAAAACAGAUAUGGAACUUAUAAUCUAAUUAGAGGAGACAGAAAAAUAUAUAGAAUGUAAGAUCUAAGCGUCCUGGAAAAAAAAAAAAAAAAAAAGCAGGGAAGAAGGGCAGGAAAUGCUGGAGAUGAGGAAAUUCGUCGUUUUAAUUAAGGUGGUCAGGGAAGGGCUCUCUAAGAAGGGGACAUCUGAAAAGAGAUGAGGGAGUGAUUCACUGGGAACACCUGGGGGCAGAGUACUCCCAGCAAAGGGGAUGGCAGGUAGAGGCAAGAUCAUGACUGGUCUUUCAAGGAGCAGUAAGGAGAUCAGGUAGAGUAAGCAACAAGGAUGACUACACAGAUGUCGUCAAGAAGCCACACUACAUGUGGCCUUGUUGGUAAUUGUAAGGACUUUAGCUUUUACUCUGAGGGAGAAACAAAGUCCUACCUGAGGAUUCUGAAGAGAGAACUGAUGUCAUCUGGGAUAUGUUUAAAAAUGACUACUCUAGUCACUUGCUAAAAACAGACUAUAAAGGGGCAAGGAAGCAAGGAAGCAAUUUAGGAGGCUAUUAGAAAACUCUAGGCAGUAGAUGCUCAUGGCUGUGCCAGGGUGAAAGUGGUAGAAAUGAUGAGAACUGGUCAGAUUCUGGAUUAUGCUGUGAAUCAUUCUUUCCAGGGUUAAAACAAUGUAUUAAAUCGUAACACACUGGAACAGUGACUUUCCAUGAGUGGAAAAGAUGAUAGAGUCAAAAGGGAGUAAGAGUCCAGGAAUGGCUAUAGAUUUCCUUCCUUAUUUUGCCCUGUCUUCGAGCAUAAGUGCAGGUAUGCAAGCAAACAGUGAUAAGAAAAUACUGACCCUUGUAUAUGUCUCAAGUCCAUAUGAUUACGGGAAAACUCACUAAGCCUGGAUCAGGAGUUCUUAUGACAUUACUCUGCAGCUGGUAUUUCCAAAGACAGGUGACAGAUAUAGAUACUUGGCUCCCUCCUAUGGUCUAUGUCAUUUUCUAUACGUUCUGCCUUUCAUAUUACAGCAGAGAUGUUUUUGAACAAAGGUAGAACUAAUAAUUAUUAAAUAGACCAAAUAUAUGAAUUAAGGAAGUCUUUAAAUUAAGGAAGUCUUUAAUUCAGAUCUUGGCUUGGUUAUUCGGCUCAAUGACUGUGUUCCAGCCAGUCUUACUCCUGGCCAGUAAUAUCUCAAUAAGACUGUGGAAAGACAUACGAAUGCCAUUCCGUGCUCCUUGGAGUAGACUAAACAUAAAGUAAAUGCCUUUUCUUAAAUAAGUACCUGCAAGCAACUAUUCAUUUUACAUAUAACAAGUAUGAAAUAACAUAUACCUGUACUAGGUAUUUUACAUUUCGUGCUGGAAAUCCCCAUGAUUAAACUAAACUUAAAAAAAUUACAAAAACU